CAUGAACCACUCUUUAGUCUCCCUCGACGCCGCUCGACGACAAAAAAGCAACCCUGGUUUUCCGAUUUGUCAAUCUAUCACCCGACCCGGCUGCCGUUUGAUUUCCUCCAGGCUCCGUCCUCUCCGGCGACAGCAGCUGCAGAAGUUCGAUUCCCUCCGCCCUGCGGCCUCUCCAGUGACAGUCAACAGCAGCUUCACGCCUUCAUCAGUUCUCCUCCUCCUAUUCUCUUUCCCAAGCUCCCCGCCGAUUCACCUCUCUCUUCGUCUUCAACACGGUAUAACUUAAUUCACUUCUUCCUUAUCCCACUUUACAGCUAACAGUUUCGAUUCACUUCUAUCCGCAUCUUUCAGUUGAUUAGUUUGCUCAAUUGAUAUUGACUAUGUUUCAGUCUUUAGCUCGAGGCUUACUAAACGACGCCCUGGUUUUCGAAUUAAACGACGUCCUACAUUCAUAAUGAUCUAAACGUCCAUUCCGUAAAAAUGAAAAACAUGAAAAACUUACUAGUUCAAUCCAAAAAACCCUUAUUUAGUAAGUUUUAGUUGGUCGAAAACACUCUCCACGAACCACGGCUCAAAAUUGAAAAGGUACGAAAUUGAAUUUUGGAUCUGAAAAAAAAACAAUUCGGACUGACCAACCGGACAGACAGGCGUUCCAUCCGGUCAGACCAUCUGGACUGAAAUCGGUUCUGUCUGAGUGGUCUGACCGGAUGGAAAGUCGGUCCGUCCGGUUGGUCCGUCCAAUUUUUUACGGUACUACAUUGGAAGCAUUGCAAACUAGCAACCCUGCGUUGUUAGCCUCAAACCAGCGCUUGGAACAUAUGUUCUAGAGGUUCAUAGAAAGGAAUCGGGAGGACCCACCGGAUCGAGAACGUUGAGGGGUUCUACUCCGACCACCCCAGCUGGUACCGCACUUACCAAAACUCGAUUUUCCCUACUUUGCAGGCACCGACCCUACUUCAUGGGUGAGAAAAUACAUUAAGCUUUUUACCAUUCAUCAAAUCCCUCCUAACCAACAAUUAGAGGUAGCAGCUCUGUUCUUGGAGGGUAGAGCUGAUAUUUGGUACUAGGGAUGGUUAGUAGAACAUCCAAACUUGCAAUGGGAAGUGCUAGGGUUUAGGGUUGAAGAGGUUUGGUGACCCCUCUUGUGUUAAUGUGGUGGGAUGUUUCAAUAAACUGAAACAAGCUGGCUUAGUAUUGGAGUACUAGGAGAAGUUUGAGAAUUUAAGAUCCAGAAUACUCAAGCUAAACCCUACAUUAACAAAACCCUAUUUGUGCAAAGUUUUAUUAGUGGUUUGGAUGAAGAAGUGCAUCCUGUUUUACUUAUGCUGAAACUAGUAGAAGUCACGGAUGCCUUCCUGCAAGCAAGAAUGCAAGAGGCUUCCAUUGAGGCAAGAAGGAAGAAGUUCUGUUCCACUUCAAAGUGGAACUCAAGAGAAAACUCUAUUAAACGAAAGGCAGGAAAGCAACCUUUGCUGAUACUAGUUGGUACUAGAGCUAGCCAUAUGUUCUUAAGUCAGAAGUAUGCUGUGGAGCUCAGGCUAGAAUUGUAAGCAACAAUACUAAUGAGAGUUAAAAUGGCCAAUGGGGACCUCUUGCUAAGCACUAAAGAAUGCCAAGGGUUUACUUGGAUGAUGCAAGGGGAGAAAUUAAAUUUUAAUGUAAGGAUACUGCCUUUGAAGAGAAUGAUCUGAUCUUGGGAUUCAACUGGCUGAAAACAGUUAGCCCUAUUCAGAUGGACUUUGAGAAGCUUAAUUUCGCAUUUGAAUGGGAAGGUAAACCUCUAGUGCUACAAGGGACAAUAGAGGCAAGCCAGUGUGAAUCCAUGAGUGGAGAAGAGCUCUAUAGAAGCGUAAUGAAGGGUUAAGUGUCUAGUCUGAUUGGCUACAUCUUACAAGUGGAGGAGACCACUAUGGAAACUCCCAUUCCUGCAGAAAUGCUAUCCAUACUAAAGGAGUACAACGAUGUCUUUGAGGUACCAAACUCCCUCUCUCCUACUAGAGGGUAUGAUCAUAUUAUUCCAUUGGAACCUAAUGUAAAGCUAGUCGACUCGAGACCCUAUAGAUACACCCCUGCCCAAAAGGAUGAAACUGAGAAAUAGGUCAGGGAUAUGAUGAAGAACCAUAUCGUUCCAGAGAGCUACAGUCCUUUUGCUUCACUUGUGCUCUUGGUCAAAAGGAAGGAUGGAGGUUAGAGGUUUUGUGUAGAUUACAGGCAGCUCAACAAGCUUACCAAAGUGGAUUUAAGGGCUAGUUACCAUCAAAUCAUAAUGGAGCUGACAGAUCAACACAAGACAUCUUUUAGAACGUAUCAUGGACACUUUGAGUUUAGAGUGAUGCCAUUUUGCUUACCAAUUCUCCAGCAACCUUCCAGGCACUGAUGAACAAGGUAUUGGCACCUUAUUUGAGGAAGUUUGUAUUAGUGUUCUUUGAUGAUAUCUUCAUUUACAAUCAUGAUCUAGAAACUCAUCAAGAACACAUCAGGAAGACACUACAUGUACUGAGGACUCACCAACUUUAUGUUAAGCUAUCGAAGUGCUCAUUUGCAUAGACCAGUGUGGCGAAUUUGGGACACGUAAUCAGUAGAGAAGGGGUGGCCAUAGAUCCAGAAAGUGAAAGUUAUGGCUGAGUGGCCCAUUCCCACCAAUCUAAAGGGACUCAGAGGGUUCCUAGGCCUUAUUAGCUACUAUAGGAAAUUUGUUGAAGGGUAUGAAGUAAUCAGUAAGCCUCUCACUGAUCUACUCGAGAAAGAUGGUUUCAUUUGGACUGAUAAGGCAACUCAAGCUUUCAACAAUUGAAAGCUUGCAUGACUAAAGCUCCUGUUUUGGCUCUACCAAAAUUUUAGCUAUGACUCACACUGGAAUGGAUGCUUCUGGGAUCAGAAUUAGAGCUGUAUUGACUCAAUAGGGGAGGCCAAUAACAUAUAUAAGUCAUGCCCUGAGUGCUAGGAACCAAGGGCUUUCUGCCUAUGAAAAGGAAUACAUAUAUGUCUUAUUUGUAGUGAACAAAUGGACGCAUUAUUUGGAGGGAAGGCCUUUCAUCAUUCUCACGGAUCAUGAAAGCCUUAAACAUUUUCUUGAGCAGAAGAUCCACACCAACAUACAAAAGAAAGGCUUGGUAAAGCUGCUAGGGUUGGAUUUUCAAAUUACGUAUAGGCAAGGAAGGCUUAACAAGGCAGUUGAUGCCCAGUCUAGAAAAUAUGAAGAGCUAAGUUGUGACACCAUAUCAACAGCCUUACCUGACCAGAUGCUCAGCAUUAAAGAGGGUUUUGUUGGUGAUGUUGAGGUUCAAAACCUGAUAAUUGGAAGUGAUGUUACCAACGGGGGGACCUCAGCACUACUCUUAUGCAGAAGGGGUGCUAAGGUAUAAGGGCCUAAUAUAUGUUGGCAGUAGCGGAACACUCAGAGACUAGCUGCUAACCUUUUUUCAUGCUUCACUGAUUGGAGGAAUUCUAGAGACCAAUCCACUUAUCAACAUGUCAAAAGGUACUUUGAUUGGCCAAGAAUGAAAGCUAUGGCGAUGGACUAUGUAGCAAAGUGUGCUAUAUGUCAGCAAUGCAAAGCAGAAUAUUUUCCUUAUCCUGGACUGGUGUAACCAUUGCCUAUCCCAUAUCAAGCAUGGAAGCACAUAUCUAUGGAUUUCAUAGAAAGAUUACCAAAAUCAGGAACUAAGUAGGCCAUCCUGGUAGUGGUAGACAUGCUUACUAAGUAUGGUCAUUUCCUUUCACUGCCUCACCCCUACACAGCUGUGACAGUAGCUCAAUUGUUUAUGGAAAACGUUUUUAAACUCCAUGGGAUGCCUACCACUAUUGUAUCUCACAGGGAUACCAUAUUCACAAGAACAUUUUGGAAAGAGAUGUUCAGACUGCAGGGAGCAAAGCUUCUCUACUCCACUGCCUACCAUCCCCAAACAGAUGGUCAAAUAGUGAGGCUUAAUAGAUGUCUGGAAGAUUAUCUAAACUGUAUGGUUUAAGGAGCUCCUGGAAAAUGGCAACAGUGGCUCCCUUUGGCGGAGUGGUGGUAUAAUACCAAUUUCCACUCCAGUUUGAGGCUCACCCCUUUCGAAGCCUUGUAUGGUUACCCUCCUUUAGUGUUUGAUCUGCAGAAUCCCAUUCCACCUCGAUUGCUGCAAUAGAGGAAAAACUCCAGCACUAGCAUAAGAUCAUUGAUCAACUCAGGGAUAGUCUUGCAAGGGCAUAGAACCACCAGAAGCAGCAAGUGGAUAAACACCGAUCAGAGAGCAGUUUCCAGGUGGGAGAUCAAGUGUAUCUGAAGAUGCACCCCUAUAAAUAGAAGUUAGUAGCGCAAAGGAAGAAUAUCAAGUUGUCGCCCCAUUUUGUGGGCCAUUAGCAGCGGUCAAGAAGGUGGGAGAAGUGGCUUAUGAGCUACAGUUACAGAUUCUACAAGUAUACAUCCUGUUUUCCACAUAUCAUUGUUGAAGAAAGCAGUUGGGGAUACAGUUGCAGUUAAUCCUAAUCUACUUGAGUUGGAUGGAAAUGGAGUGAUGAAGCAACUUCCAAUAGCUAUAUUGGCUAGAAGAUUCAUCAAUAAGAGGAACAAGCCUGUCAUUGAAGUGUUGGUAUAGUGGGAAAUCAAAGUGAAGCUGAUGCUAGCUAGGAAGAUUGGCAUCCAUUCAAAGAGAAAUUUCCAGAAUUCAAGGAUACCUAAAACUCCUUGAGACAAGUUGGAUUUUACAAUUAGGGAUUGUAACGAUUUAGACCUUGUUAUUGCUUUUUGUAAGUUUAGUGACUACACAGUUAAUUUUACCUAAAGCAUGAAACUUCCCCUUUCCAGCCGUUAUGUUAUCAUUAUUAUUGUAGCCGGAAACUGUCCUUGCUCUGCAAUGUUAUUUAGCUGCAGCUGCCUUUGGGGAACAUCAAUUAAUGAACUACCAUCCAAUCUUUGCUUGAAUAUCUCUCCCUCUCAACUCUUCCUCUUCCUCUCCUCUAUCUCUCUACCUAACCCUCUUUUCUUUUCUCUUCGAUUAAAUCUAUCUUGCCGGAACCUUACUAGGGACAUUACAAGUGGUAAUCAAAUCCAGGUUUUGGCAUAUACUAUGACAUAGAAAAACGAUACUUAAUCCACAGCUCUGGAGGAGCAACUUGUUAACCUAAAAAAUAUUCAACAGACCAACCACACAAAUCUCGAAGGAAUGGUAGACCGUAAUGGUACUACAUUGGAAGCAUUGUAGACUAGCAACCCUGCGUUAUAAGCCUCAAACCAGCGCUUGGAACAGAUGUUCCAGAGGUUCAUAGAAAGGAAUCAGGAGGACCCGCCAGAUUAAGAACGUCGAGGGGUUCUACUCCGACCAUACCAGCUGGUAGCACACUUACCAAACCUCGAUUUUCCCUACUUUUCAAAUGGACUAUUCUCUUUACCAUUCAUGAAAUCCCUCCUUCAUGGGUAAGAAAAUGGACUACGCUCUUUACCAUCAUGAAAUCCCUCCUAACCAACAAGUAGAGGUAUCAGCUUUGUUCCUAGAUGGUAGAGAAAAUAUUUGGUAUCAGGGAUGGCCAGCUGAAUGUUCAUACCUACAAUGGGAACGCCCAAACUUACAGUGAGAAUCCUACUGGGGACAUUAUAGUUUUCCUCUCUAAUCUCCUCCCUAUGGCGAUCUUCGCUGCCCAAGCUCCAAUUUUGCUUCCCCUCGAUCGAUCGGAAACUAGAUAACUACCCUUCUUGGCAGCAAAACAACAACGAAAAGAGACUCUCCCCUUCCAUUCACAUCUCUGCCCAGCUCGAUUUAUGUCAUAUGUGGUAACUAGACCUCUCUCCCAUUUGAUGGUAACGAGGCCCAUCAUAACCAUCUGGUCCAUCUGACGGCCCAAGGCCCACCUCGUCACCACAACUUUGACAUGACACAAAGCCCAUAACUUCAGUCCAGGUCCAAUUAAAGUGGCAACCUUCAUCUCAAACCGGAACCAAUUAAGGCUCAUCCUCAUCGUUGGAUUCAUCCGAUGGCCCAGAUAUCUCCAACCUUAAAAUUAUCAAUUCAAAGAGUUAACUUCUAUUCUGAUUGUCUUAGUCAACACGAUACUAAUCCUGAGCCUUGCAAGCCUUUAAUACUUGGUCAACUCCUCAAAUUAAUUAAAUUAAUUCAGUUUUCCAACUACCAACUUCUAUCUAUGAAGUAAGAUUUUAAUCAAACGAAAAUUUAAACCGAACCAGAAUUCAGGGUGUGAUAACUAUCCCCUCCUAUAAAAGGUUUUGUCCCGAAACCUAAACCUCACCCCACUGGGUGGAAAGAUUUGGCGCAACAGAGUUCAACCCUAGCCCUUACACCCUUACUUGGUAGUAAAACGAUCCUGACGUGUUGUCCUUCUCAAGGACUCAACCAUUCCACUCCUCGGAAAUGACCCAAGGUCAAAUCACAACCUUAUCCUAGUGGAUCGAUGGUGGUCGACCCCUCAACAUGCCUAACCAUAGCUUAUACCCCUAAAGAGAAACCUAGAGCUAAUUCCUUGCUUCCCAAAACUCCUUCAAGCUCGAAACUAAGAAUCUGCUCUCGACCGAGCCUAAAGUCCCAAACUAAGUUGGACACGCUUUGCUAACUUAAACUUAUCCAUCUUGCCUUAGAAAAUCAUCGACCCUUCUCGACAUAGAGCCGACCCCUCAAGCUCGCUACCCAUCGAGCACCACUACCUGGAAGCCUCCUCAGAAGCCACUAAACGACCAAGGUCAAAGCCUCAUUUUCAUUGUUCCAGGUCCAUCUCACAACUGAGUCAUCCCAUGAUCCACUGUGUACAUCCUUUAGUAGUCUCCACGAGACCAAAUUUCAAAUACGGACAACACCUUAUCUGCAUGCCUGAUCGUGUGCUCUACCUAUCUCACUCCAUUACUGUCCAUCUGUGGCUAGCACACUCAUCAAUCGUGGCCAACAUAGCACCAAACUUGUGGUCUUUCCAUCCGACCAAGAUCUAAUGGCUCAUCAUAACCAUUUGAUUCAUAUGACGGCCCAAGGCACACCUCGUCACCACAACUUUAACUAGACACAAAGCCCACAACAUAAGUCCAGGUCCAAUUAAAAUGUCAGCUUUCAUCUCAAACUUGAGACAAUCAAGGCUCAUCCUCAUCGUUGGAUUCAUCUGACAGCCCAUAUAUAUCAAUGCUUAAAAUAUCAAUUCAAACAAUUAACUUCUAUUCCGAUUGACUUAGUCAACACGAUACUAAUCCCGAGGCAUGCAAGCCUUUACUACUUGGUCAACUGCUGAGUCAACUGCUAGAAUUAAUUAUAUUAAUUCGGUUUUCCAACUCCCGACUUCUAUCUAUCGAGUAAGAUUUUAAUCAAACCAAAAUUUAAAAUGAACUGGAAUUCACGGUGUCACAUAUAUACUCGAUUAAUUUGAAGUACGAAUAUAUAUUUUCUUUGUAACACGUUUGAUUGGUUAGUUUUUUAUUAGAAAAACACAUGUUUGGUUCAUUUUAAUUCUUUUUAUGAAUUAUGAAUUAAUAUUCCAUAAAAUACCCAUGAACUUGUACGAAAGAGAGCAGUUUAUAAUAUAGGAUAUUUAGUUACAAGAUGUCCUAGACAGAGAUAACAGAUCAAACUCAUGGCUACAAUUUGUCAUGCAAAAAAAUGGGGUAAAAAUGUCCAACAAAAAAAACUAAAAAACGCACUACUAAAAAAUGUCCAACAAAAAACUAAAAAAUGGGGUAAAAAUAGCUACAAUUUCCUCAUUAUCACUAGGUCCAUCUCCUCCAUUCCUUCCUCCGCCUUAGUCAUUGUCGUCAUUAAAUUUACUUUCAUCUUUCUCUUCUUCUUUGACUAAUUUAUCAUCUUUUUCUUCUUCUUCUUCUUCACUCUCACUAGCUUACUUGUAAUCAUAUUCUUUAAGAUCAAUAUGGUCAGCAUCUUUUUCUUCUUUCUCAGCAACAAGUUUGUCUCCUCCAUCAUCUUUCUUCCCUUCUGUUUUUGAUAUUGCAGAUUCUCGUUCAACUUCUUCAGGGACAGUGUUGGCUCCUUCAGCCUUUUUUGUAUCACAGUGAGAAGUAUCUCCCAAAGGGAAAUGUUUAUCUUAUAUUUAUUGUCAGUUUUUGCUGUAUCACCCUCUUGCUUAGCAACUUCCUCUCCCUUAUUCACAUCACCCUCUCGCCCAACAACUUUCUUUCCCUUAUUCACAUCACCAUCCAUGUCCAUUGUAGACUUCAUAUUCUUCAUAAAACUGUCAAUAGAACACAAUGCAGCUGUGUAUUGCUUCACCAACUUUCUACAACGAGCAUAUGCGUCAAGCAUAGCAUUCUUCAAACACAUAUCCUGUCAAAAUAGAAAAAAAGUAAAAUAGCAACACCAUAGGAUUGCAAAAAAAAUAGUGAGAAUGAAUAACAAAUAUACAAAAAAUAAAAUCACACAUAACGUAAACAAAAUACCUUCAGAAAACUGUUGAUAGUAGCAAAAUCAAUAGUAGGAGAGGAUAAGUCAGCAUUCAAGUUGUCCAACCAAAAUAUGGAUUUACGGUAAACAUAUUUGGACCUCUUCGAAUGGCGAACUUCAUGCUUUGACUCAUUUGUAUCUCCACUAGAAUUGUGUCUUUCCCUCUUACCAUCACUGUUAAUCACUAGUAAUAACUUGCCCUGAUUAGCGAUGCUUAUUAACAUAUAGAAAUUCAUAGAAAUCGGGUCAACCACACAACAACACUAAAAUGAAAAAAAUAGAUCGAUUACUGAACCCUAAAAGUAAGAACAAUUACAAAACACAACGAAACAACCACAAAAAGGAGGAUAAAAGAAGACUAGAACCCUAACAAUUGAAAGAAGGGGUGGAAAUAGAAUAGAUAAAGAACAAACGAAUGGAGAAGAGGAAAUAACAUAGGAGAUUGGGGACCAUUAUCCUCGUGACUUAGGACAUCCCAUCUGGACAUCUGAAACCUAAAAAUGAAACUAUAAAUCACCAAAAUCAGUAAAAAACGAAGAACACCAGCGACUGUGAUAGUUUGUCAAAGAAAGAAGAAAUGCGCGCAGAGAGAAAUCAGAAACUGACUACCCAUCUGAUUCAGUUUGUGGAUAAUGGUAUUUAAAAAUGGUUUUGAAAGACAAAAAUACCCCGCAUUGAAAAAGUGAGUCAAUUGUCAGCCGUAUAGAUGCAAUGGACAAUGGAUGGCUGAGAGACGUCGUGGAGUUCUUGGAACAGUAAACAACCUGGAUUCCAAACCCACCCCGUACAAAAUCAGAGACGAAAGAAAACUAUUGCCACAAACUAUUAAUUAUAUUACUAUAAAUAGACAUCCGACAGCAAAAUAAGAGAGCCUGGGUCACUAGUACUCGGACUGGACGGCUCCUCCCGUAUUUGACCCGCUCCACCAAGAUGCCGAUGAACAGGAGGACUAGGAGAAUGAGGAGGAGUGAGCUCGAACCUCCGAUAGUCUUGAAGUUUUCUUCUUUUGUACUUGCUUUCCCGUUGUUUCUCUUUGCUGAAACUGAGACAUGUAAGACUCAUGGUUAAAGUUUUUUAUUUUUUGCAUCGAAUGAUUCUCUUUCCAUGUUUUUUUCUAUUAAAUCAAAUGAGCCUUCCACUCCAUUUCCUUCCCACUCUCUUAUGUUACUGUUCUCUGGAAUUCCUCCUAUUUCCAGUCCACCAUGCCUGUGGAAUACUGCCCGUUAUGCCCUUGGUUUAACCACUCCCCCGACCGUUGCCGCUUACUAGCUACGCCUGUGGUGUUCUACCCCCAAUGCCCGUGGCCGGCUAUCCCUCACGCCCGUGGGUACCUCUACAUCAUGCCACUGGCUACCUCUACAUCACGCUAGUGGUUACUCAAUCAUCACGCCCUGUGACUUACUUCCUGUCAUGCCGGUGACCGACUGUCCUUGAAAGUUUUCCAAGGGGUGUUACUGUUUUCAACAUCAGCACGCCACUAAUUCCUAAGGGAUCGACACAGAUGCCUACCUUGCUCCUUUCAUGGCUAUUCCUUCGGCUCUCAGGUGCUUCUCAUCGUUGCUUCCGAGCAUGGUCCUCAUGUGGAUACCAGAGGCUCUUUACCUCCUCGAUGUAAUAACUCCCAAGGAGUAGAACAUUCUUUCAAACUCUGAAUUCUUCUCCACCUUGGGUUCAUAACAUUUUCUUACCAUUGACUCUAUCAAAGAGUCCCACUGGAUUAGACUCCCGAAGUCCAUCCACUAUUGCCCUUAUCACUACCCCUCGUCUUAUUGGAACUCCCAGAGUUCAACAUUAAGCUUCUGAACCAAGAAAGCAAGGUACGCUGCACUUAGUUCCUCAACCUUUUUCUUUUGUCCUCCUAAGGCUGGUGGAAGAGCGGUCGUUGAAAUCUAACUGAAAUAGUUCCCUUUUAAAACACACAAAUCCGAGAAGCCUUCUCCUAAAAUCUUUUAAAAAGACUAACCCAACACAUCAUGACAUCCCUGGACACUCAUCUACUUCCCUCAUGGAAGUCUAGUACCGUUACAAGUGUGGACUCACCCUCUCCCCAUUGAGGUUCAUGACGCCUCUGAGGAGCACAGAGCACACCGGUAGCGAUACAAGACAACAAGGCUUUGAUACCAGUUGUGACACUACACCCUAGGAGUCCCGGUCAAACCACCGGUUCAACCUAAGUGUCCUACUCGGUUUUCAACCCGAACCAUAACUCAACUCUAAUCUUCUAACCAAAGCAUUAAAAAAGCGUUAAAAGUUGAAAAACUGAACACUGUAAUACAACUAACAAACUAGGAUCCCGGAUACCAAAAUAUAAGUCAAAACGGAGAUGCAACUACAGUUUAAAAAUACAACAAUAUCGAUACCCUCAGAUAUCCAAACCCCAACCAACUCUGUCCCUACCAUCAACUCCAGUACCUAUGACUGAACACACAGAUACACCAAGGAACACAAUAUCUAAAGGGGGUCAGUGAUAAGCACUCAGUGACUAAUCCAGAGUUGCAUAAAACUGAGACAGCACUAGAACUGUACGGAGAAGAUAUUGAAACUGAACUGAGAGUAGAAUAAGAAGUCUAUCUAACACUAAACUAAUAAUGUAACCCUGUGGUCCUGUUGGCCUCAACCUAACAUCAGCCACCCCUAUCUAUGAAUGGACAAUCUCGUGGUGGAUCAGACCAUGAAACCACCUUGAAUACCAUGAGAACAGUAAUUGUAGGCAUACUCAUCACGUCCUACCUAAACCUGACUAUAACUUGGGGAAUUUCACAAUCCAUGAGUGUGUAACAGUUGCAUCAUCGUUAAAAAUUAGUAUAUCCUGAACUAUAUUGUCAAGAACUGUAAAUCACACGCCACGGUUCUUCUAUUAGAAGCUUAUUCUCAAUUCAUAUACGUUGCCUGCCUCUGUUCUAUGAACUAGGUCAGUAUUAAUUUUGCGUAGCUUCAUUCCGAUUGAACAAAACGAAGAAGAGGGGUUCUUCCAUAUCUGUUUCACUCAAUAUUUGAUUACUCUCAUUCAAGGUUUGAAUUCCAACCAUCGUCGCUCGCUACUGAGGUUGUCAUCUCGCUGUCAGAAUUGAGGACCCCUGAGAGAUGUAUGUAUCUAGCAAUCAUAUUUCUCGUUAUGCUUAUCUAUCUGUUGCGUUUUGAUUCCUGCUUCUUUUGUCGAUUCUCUUGGUGGGUUUGUAUUGUUAAUGUUACUAGCAUCUAAUUGAUAUGGUUGGGUUAUGAUAUAUAAACAAAAUCCUAAUGGGUAUUUGUUUAAACGGUGCAAAAUGUGUUAUGUAACUGCAGAAUUUGUGUUGUAUCUUCAUUAUCUUCAUCGAAAUGAGGUAAGUGUGCCCGAUAGUUGAGAUUGCUUGUUUAUUAGGGUUUGUCACACUGCCGAUUGCAUGUACGCUCUAUAUAUAGGUAGUUAGUUUUCCAUUCUAGCUGCCUCUAUAUAUAUAAGAGUCUGAUACCUGUAGCUGUGAACUUUACAAUGCAAUGAAUUAUAAUUUCAGGAAGAACAUGCUGCAAUUCUGGUUUUGCAAGAAUGUUGGUGUGAUAUCCAUCUGAUUAUAUAUAAACAAAAUCCUAAUGGGUCAAGCAGUCUCAAUCAUAUAUAUCAAAUAGUAUUUGUUUAUGAAACACUAUCCAUCUAUUGCCUUUUGCCAAUCAUAUGAAUCAGUUUUCGUUGGAUUUGUUCAGUUUUGUUGAUUUGUGUGGUGUUUGUAUUGGUUGUGUUUAUUUGAGGCAUUGAAUCAUAAUUACAUUUAUCCUUCUUGUGUUGGCUGUUGUGUACUUUAGAAAUGAACCAUAAGAAGAAGAACUAUAGUAGGAAUUAAUAUACACGUGCCCCUGUUGUUGUAAUAGUACAUUUGGUUCUUUGCUGUGGUUGAUCUUGGGUCCUGAAAUAAAAAAACACAAGUAUCAUAUUCUUUUAAUUUCCCUCUAACCUCUUCUACCUGAUUUGGUCUUUGUAUGGCAGCUUAAUUGGUUUAUUCACCCACCUGAUUGAUAUCCUAGCAAUCGUUUCCAGUUCGGUGCUCUUCUUCUCCAUCCACACCAAAUCUUCCUUUCCAUCCCAUCAGGUAACUACUUUAAUCAAUGUAGCUAGGAUCAGUAAUGCCAAGUGACAAUAGUUUGGAAUUUGCUAGCUCCCUAUCUUGAUUGUUGUUGGGAUUGCUUUUUUGUUGAAAGUUGCUGCUGCUUGGUGGCUCUCUAUAUUUGUGAUUAAUCAGAAAAAAUAAAAAUGUAUUUAUUUGCAGACAAGUUCUUGGUGGUUGCCAUGCUUGUAUUUGGGGUUGGGUUUAUUAUGAUGAACUGACGUAAUGCAUCUUUUAGCUAAUGGUAUAAUGAAAUUGUUAUUUUUAUGUUUGAUAAUUUAUUAUUUCUGUAUAGUGGACAGUGGCUUGUUAUGUUAAUUUCAAUGGACAUUAAUUAGGAUAGUGAUGUUCAUUAUUAAGCACAUACAUAGAUAAUAUCUUGGAUCAACCUUUU
rnacentral:lncRNA from 1 species